GAACCACAGGAAGUGGAAAGAAGAGUGUCCGGAAAUGAAGAAACUCCCAUAUUUACUCUGCAGACUCUUCCAACUGACCUGAAAAUCCUGCUGGAACAACAGGCUACAGUUGCCCCUGAAGAAAUACAGAAGUGGAAACAGAAAGGGGCAGUUCUGAAGGAUGGAGUGUACUCCAACAACCUCAAUUUCUGCCUCCCUAAGAAUUUGUACCCAGCAGUCGUACAAUGGGCACACAGACCUGCACAUUUAUCAAAGGAUCUAAUGAAUGCUCUUGUACAAAAAUACUACCUCACUGUCCCCAUACGAGAUUCUAUUUGGGACUGCACCUAGGCUAGGUUGCUAUUUUCCCCAACAACUACAACUUCAAACUGAUGUUUUAGUAGAUUAUGUAACUGAACUCGCAAAUGCUUUGAACAAAAUCCAUGCCCAAGUUUUCUCUAAAAUUCCAGAUCCUGAUUCUGACACAGGCAACCACAGUCUGCUCCCCGGUGACUGGGUUCUGGUCAAGAAAUUUGUGCGAAAACACACCCUGGAACCAAGAUUUGACG